rnacentral:rRNA from 1 species
AUUGAACGCUGGCGGCAUGCCUUACACAUGCAAGUCGAACGGCAGCGCGGACUUCGGUCUGGCGGCGAGUGGCGAACGGGUGAGUAAUACAUCGGAACGUACCCUGUUGUGGGGGAUAACUAGUCGAAAGAUUAGCUAAUACCGCAUACGACCUGAGGGUGAAAGUGGGGGAUCGCAAGGCCUCACGCAGCAGGAGCGGCCGAUGUCUGAUUAGCUAGUUGGUGGGGUAAAGGCCCACCAAGGCGACGAUCAGUAGCUGGUCUGAGAGGACGAUCAGCCACACUGGGACUGAGACACGGCCCAGACUCCUACGGGAGGCAGCAGUGGGGAAUUUUGGACAAUGGGGGCAACCCUGAUCCAGCAAUGCCGCGUGUGUGAAGAAGGCCUUCGGGUUGUAAAGCACUCUUGUCCGGAAAGAAAUCGCGCUGGUUAAUACCUGGCGUGGAUGACGGUACCGGAAGAAUAAGCACCGGCUAACUACGUG